AACGAACGCUGGCGGCAGGCUUAGCACAUGCAAGUCGAACGCGCCCUUCGGGGCGAGUGGCAGACGGGUGAGUAACGCGUGGGAACCUACCUUUUGGUACGGAAUAACUCAGGGAAACUUGAGCUAAUACCGUAUGUGCCAUGACUUUUAAUCGGGUCCGGGGCAAGAUUUAUCGCCAAAGGAUGGGCCCGCGUCGGAUUAGCUAGUUGGUGCGGUAAUGGCCUACCAAGGCGACGAUCCGUAGCUGGUCUGAGAGGAUGAUCAGCCACACUGGGACUGAGACACGGCCCAGACUCCUACGGGAGGCAGCAGUGGGGAAUAUUGGACAAUGGGGGCAACCCUGAUCCAGCCAUGCCGCGUGAGUGAUGAAGGCCUUAGGGUUGUAAAGCUCUUUCGCCGGUGAAGAUAAUGACGGUAACCGGAGAAGAAGCCCCGGCUAACUUCGUGCCAGCCGCCGCCGUAAAAC
rnacentral:rRNA from 1 species